rnacentral:tRNA from 1 species
GCUCUCGUAGCGCAAUGGCAGCGCGUCAGACUUCUAUCCUGAUAUCUGAAGGCUGCGAGUUCGAGUCUCGCCGGGAGUG